UUGAUUCAUUUUGAAUUUUUGCUCAGAGCUGUAAGAAAUAACGUCCGCGAGGGGACUACAGAAAGAGUUUGGUUGGUUCCUCCGGCGGGCGCCUGGUUCCGGCGGCCCUCGCGGGCCUUCCGGGGCGUUAACCCGCCGAAGCAACAGUAAAGGUAUAAGUUCACAGGGGUUUGGGAGUAGAAUAACUCGGUAAUGAUCCCUCCGCUGGUUCACCAACGGAGA
rnacentral:misc_RNA from 1 species